CACAUUGCUUGAUCUGAAAUUACUUAGUGAGGUUCUGGGUGGGGCAGUGAAGCUCUCAUGUGGAAUUUCGAGGGCAGCAAAUUGGGGUAGCGUUGUUCUGCUGCUUUGAUCCAGCUGCUGUGUGUAUUGUGGGCAGUUGUGCAUGUUAGUGUUGUGAAGUGUGUGGUGAGCCUAUCACAACCUUCAGCGAUGGAUGUCUCGGCUUGGACAACGAUGAAGGGCGCAGCGAAGUGUGAUAACCUUUGUGAAUUGCAGAAUUCCGUGAAUCAAUAGAGCUUUGAACGCGUGUUGUGCUGUUGGGAUAUACCUGACAGCAUGCCUGCUUUGGUGCCUUCUUGUGUGACUUCUGGUGGCAGGCAUAAGCACGCCUCGUGUGCUUGUGUGCAACCUGUGUGUAUGUGCAUGCCAGGGUGCCCAAACUUGCCCUUGCUAUGCAUAAUGAAUGUGAAGCUCUGUGUGCCAACAGCUACCUGAGCCAUGUGUUGGAUGCUGUUAGCCUGCUUGGCGGCGGAGACACUCCCAAUUUGCCAUUUGCUUCUGUUAUGAGAGACAUGAAGUUAGGCUAGCAAACCUGCUGAACUUUAAGCAUCUGUCGAACUG
rnacentral:rRNA from 1 species